rnacentral:misc_RNA from 1 species
GAUGAAGAACGCAGCAAAAUGCGAUAAGUAAUGUGAAUCGCAGAAUUCAGUGAAUCAUCGAAUCUUUGAACGCACAUUGCGCCCGCCAGUAUUCUGGCGGGCAUGCCUGUUCGAGCGUCAUUUCAACCCUCAAGCACAGCUUGGUGUUGGGACUCGCGUUAAUUCGCGUUCCCCAAAUUGAUUGGCGGUCACGUCGAGCUUCCAUAGCGUAGUAGUAAAACCCUCGUUACUGGUAAUCGUCGCGGCCACGCCGUUAAACCCCAACUUCUGAAUGUUGACCUCGGAUCAGGUAGGAAUACCCGCUGAACUUAAGCAUAUCAAUAAGCGGAGGA